CGCGCGCAGGCGGGCGGCGGGCGCAGUGACGGCUGGCGAGGCGCGCGCGCCGCACGCACACACGCCCCCCGUCCCGCGCCGCGCAACGGUACGCGCCGGCCGAGUGCUGACGGUGUCACCGGGUCACGCCUCCCUACAUGUAGUGCACGCAGUGUUACCGCUCCAUUGUAGGCGCGAGUGUCUGAGUGUCGGCGUAACGUUCGUUGGAUUUGUUCCGUCUGCCAGCGUCGCGAGCGCGGUGUGAACACUGGCUCUCUGUACGGUCACAUUUACAUGGAACAUAUUGUAAAGAGAGACGGGGCGCGCUGAUGUUAGCCUGCGUCAGCGACUAAGACAUUAAGUAUCUAGAUCUAGCGGCUGCGAAGUGCGAGUACCGCGGCGGCUUAACUUUCACUGCUCACGCUCGAGCGCCGCCGCUCGCGGUAAUGAACUUCCUCGGCGGCAGUCUGCUGCAGCCUGCGCCUGCGCGCCGUGUGUUGCAGGAGGCGGCGCGAGGCAUGGGCUGACGGCGCCGCUGAGCCGCACCGCACCAUGAAGAAGUUCAUGCGGCCGCGCCCCGCCGACCCGUGCGCCAUGCACAUCCAGCAUGGCUUAUGUAUUAAGUGUAGUCAUCGGUGAAUUUGUCCCCUUUCCCGCUGCUCACCUUGACCCGACACAAUCGCCCUUUGUGUCGGCGGCGGCGGCGGCGGCGGUGGGAACCGCUGACAAUGGGAACGGCUGCCGGCAGCGCAGCGCAGCGCAGCCAGCCCGCGGCGGCGCCGGCGCGACCGUUACGCGAGCGCUCGCGCCGCUUCACGCACGUCGCGCACCUUCGUCAACUCAUUAGAGCGCGCUCAUUUUCACGCUUGUUAAGGAGCUAGCGAAGGUCCGCGACCUCGUGUGUGGAAUUCAUUAUAAGUCGAGAGAGAAAGGAAUGUCCGGUAGCUGCGAGAUGUCGACAGAGCUGUGGAACAUUGAAUAA
rnacentral:misc_RNA from 1 species